CAUGGUGACAAACAGAUAAGAAGAAAAGAAGAAAAAAAGUAUAAGUUUUAAUCUUCAACCUCAGACUCUGGAAAAUCAUCUUCAAAGUCAGGUAAAUCAUCCCUAGUGCCAGGAAAAUUCAUCAUCUCUGCUGGUCUCCAGUUGACUGUCUUAAUCACUAGCACUUGCUGCAUUAGAAA